UACGUAGGGGGCGAGCGUUAUCCGGAAUUACUGGGCGUAAAGCGCACGCAGGCGGUUCGCCAAGUUUGGAGUGACAGUUGUCGGCUCAACCGACAAAGGACUUCAAAAACUGGUGAACUUGAGGACGAGAGAGGAACAUGGAACUCCAGGUGUAGUAGUGAAAUGCGUAGAUAUUCGGAGGAACACCAGUGGCGAAGGCGGCUCACUGGUCCAUUACUGACGCUGAGGUGCGAAAGCGUGGGGAGCAAACAGG
rnacentral:rRNA from 1 species